AUGGACCAGUCAGCCAUGCACGCCUACCAUCUUGGGGCCCCGUCUUCUCUGGGGCAGCUAGUGAGUGCGCUAACGAGGAAGGAGGAGGGCACCCCAGGCGACAGCACUGUGGACGCCAUUAUCCUCUGCUUCUCUACUGCACCGACCUCGACGUCUUGCCUGUGUCCCAUUGAAAAUGGAAACCAACAGCCAGAGGAAACCUUCCCCAACACUGAAACCAAUGGUGAAUUUGGUGAGCGUCCCGUAGAAGAUAUGGAAGAAGAACAAGCAUUUAAAAGGUCUAGAAACACUGACGAGAUGGUUGAAUUACGCAUUCUGCUUCAGAGCAAGAAUGCUGGGGCAGUGAUUGGAAAAGGAGGCAAGAAUAUUAAGGCUCUCCGUACUGACUACAAUGCCAGAGUUCCAGUCCCAGACAGCAGUGGCCCCAAGUGCAUAUUGAGCAUCAGUGCUGAUAUUGAAACAAUUGGAGAAAUUCUGAAGAAAAUCAUCCCUACCUUGGAAGAGGGCCUGCAGUUGCCAUCACUCACUGCAACCAGCCAGCUCCGGCUCGAAUCUGAUGCUAUGGAAUGCUUAAAUUACCAGCACUAUAAAGGAAGUGACUUUGUGAGUUGAGACUGUUGAUUCAUCAGAGUCUGGCAGGAGGAAUUAUUGGGGUGAAAGGUGCUAAAAUCAAAGAACUUCAAGAGAACACUCAAACAACAAUCAAGCUGUUCCAGGAAUGCUGUCCUCAUUCCACUGACAGAGUCGUUCUUAUUGGAGGAAAACCUGAUAGGGUUGUAGAGUGCAUAAAGAUCAUCUGAGUCUCCCAUCAAAGGACGUGCACAGCCUUGUGAUCCCAAUUUUUAUGAUGAAGCAUAUGACUAUGGUGGUUUUACAAUGAUGUUUGAUGACCGCCAUGGACGGCCCGUGGGAUUCCCAAGGCAAGGAAGAGGUGGUUUUGACAGAAUGCCUGCUGGUCAGGGUGGGCGUCCCAUGCCUCCAUCCAGAAGAGAUUAUGAUGACAUGAGCUCUUGUAGAGACCACCUCCCCCUCCACCUGGACAAGGAGGCCAGGGUGGUAGCAGAGCUUGGAAUCUCCCUCUUCCUCCACCACCACCACCUAGAGGAGGAGAUCUAAUGGCCUAUGACAGAAGAGGAAGACCUGGAGACCCUUACGAUGGAAUGGUUGGUUUCAGUGCCGAUGAAUCUUGGGAUUCUGCAAUAGAUACAUGGAGCCCAUCAGAAUGGCAGAUGGCUUAUGAACCACAGGGUGGCUCCGGAUAUGAUUAUUCCUAUGCAGGGGGUCGUGGCUCAUAUGGUGAUCUUGGUGGACCUACUAUUACUACACAAGUAACUAUUCCCAAAGAUUUGGCUGGAUCUAUUACUGGCAAAGGUGGUCAGCGGAUUAAACAAAUCUGUCAUGAGUCGGGAGCUUCCAUCAAAAUCGAUGAGCCUUUAGAAGGAUCCAAAGAUCGGAUCAUUACCAUUACAGGAACACAGGACCAGAUACAGAAUGCACAGUAUUUACUGCAGAACAGUGUGAAGCAGUAUUCUGGAAAGACUAUUUCUAAGACUAGUGAAGAACUGAAGAAGUCCUGCAUCUUUUUUUUUUUUUAUCUGCUUCUGUUUAAAAAGCCAACAUUCCUCUGCUUCACAGGUGUUCUGCAUUUGAGGUGUAGUGAAAUCUUUGCUGUUCACCAGAUGUAAUGUUUUAGUUCCUUACAAACAGGGUUGUGGGGGGGAGGAUGUGCAAAAACUAACAUUAAAAUUUUGAAACAGCAGCAGAGUGAGUGAAUUUUAUUUUUUGUUCAUUGUUGGUGGUUUAAAAAAGUUCCCCCCAUGUAAUAAUUGUGAACACCUUGCUUUGUGGUCACUGUAACAUUUGGGGGGUGGGACAGGGAGGAAAAGUAACAAUAGUCCACAUGUCCCUGGCAUCUGUUCAGAGGAGUGUGCAGAAUGUUAUGCUCUCUUGUAAGAAACGUUUUAUGAUUUUUAAAAUAAAUUUAGUGAACCUAAAAA